rnacentral:lncRNA from 1 species
AUCCAUUUACAUACUUAUCCACACUAGUGACCGGAGCAAUCUAGCGAAGGUCACAAACUUCACACUUUCUGUUGUACCAAAGUCCUCACUGAUUUUGUGCAUCAAGGCACAAAUACUUAACUGUAUGGUAUAAACAAAUCGCAAUGGCAUGAAUCAUAUACAUAUACAAAUAUUUUUUAAACCCUAAAACUAACGAGUCAUUUAUUUUCUAAACCCUAAAACUAAGGAGUCAAGCAUAUAAAAAAUACCUAAAAUAUCUAAAUAGAAAAAAAAAUUAUAUAUAUAUAUUGCCAUCUCUGAACUUGUUGAUUUCAUUGAGCUUCCUUCUUAUCGUGGCACUCAAUUGGAAGAAUCUCGUAUUUUUAUCUCCAUGUUUUGACCAAUUUGCUAUGGCUUUUUGAGCCCACAUUACUUCCACCUCCUUAAGCACUUGAGUGAGUCUCUCAUUAAUUUGAGCCUCUAAAUGAACUUUAUCAUGGAAAUUAUCUACAGUGUUGGAAUUGUAAUUGAGAGACAUAAUUUUCUUCUGAACUCAGUCCAGUUCGUUUAGAAUUUUAUCUUUCUUUUCUUUGACAAACCCAAAAAUCGUUCGAUUCCAAUUUUUGACAAGAUAAGAGAAAGUACUUAAGCGGCCCCUAAAAUGAUCAAAAGGAGAAAGUCCUCACUGCAAGUCCAUGCACCCCUAACAAAAUGUUUGAAGUUAGGAUGAAGGUUCCACAUGGCUUCAAAUUUAAAAGCUUUCCUCUGUUGACUAACUUGACGACCUGCAAUAUCCAGGUAUAAAGGACUAUGGUUUGAAUCUAGAAUAGAAUAAUUGUAGAGAGAGUAGUUUGGGUGCAAUUCAAGCCAAAAAAAAUUAGCAACAACCCUGUCUAAUCUCUCAAAGAUAAGAGUGUCAUCCUAAUGUUUGUUUGUCCAAGUAAAAGGGACACCAAAGGCUUGUUAAGAAAUCAGACUAGCAUUAUUCAAGAAAUUCACAAAAUUAGUCAUAUAAAUACUAACACUUUGAUUCCCACCCCAUUUUUCCUGUAGGCAAGAAAUGUUAUUAAAAUCACCAAGCAACAUCUAGGGUUUAUCAAUAGGAUUUAGGGUUAAUAACUCCUCCCACAUAUUUUCUUGGAGAGAUUUUUGAGGAUAGGCAUAUACAAAAGUAGCAAAGUACUCAAUAUUUGAGCGCACAUCCUUAACUAAGGCAUGAAUGUAUCUAGAAGAAGCAGCAAUCACAUUUAAAUUGAUAAGACCAUAAUUCCAACAAAUAUAAAUACCCCCAGACCUCCCCUUGUGGUUAAAACCCAAAAACUGAUAGAAAAAAACCUCCUAAAGCAACCAACAAGGGCCUUGUCCACAACAUUCUUAGUUUCAAUAAAACAAAAGAAAUCUAGUUUAACCAAGCUACUAAGAUAACUAAAAUUACUAGGGGUGGGAAAUUUUGCCAUAAACCGAUUUACCGACCAAACCAUACCGGUUGGCUCAUAAUGGUAUGGUAUGGUUUUAGCAUUUUUUCAUAAUCGGUUGGCAUUUUACCGAACUGACAACUAAUGGCAUGGCUUUGAUAAUUGAUUUUGUAUGCCGGCAGUAUGCCAUACCUACCAAUAUAUAUAUAUAUAUAUAUAUAUAUAUAUUUUUUUUUUCUAUUUAGAUAUUUUAGGUAUUUUUUACAUGCUUGACUCCUCAGUUUUAGGGUUUAGAAAAUAAAUGACUCCUUAGUUUUAGGGUUUAAAAAAUAUUUGUAUAUGUAUAUGAUUCAUGCCAUAAUAAAUAUAGAAAAUAUUGUUAACAAAAUUGAUAACAUGAUGAUUACUUAUACUAUAUAUACAUGUACAUAUAUAUGAUUUUGAAUGUAUAUGCGUUGCUUAUGUUUAGGAUGAUGGAGUCUAGCCAAUCAACCGCUAGUGCACAACAUGGAUUAACCCAAAAUGAACCACACAAUGCAACUAAACAAGCACCCCAAUCUGAAAAUCAAAUUGAGCCCUUGGAACUGGAAGAUAGCAAGGAAGAAGUGGAAAGCAUCGGUUGUGCAUUUACCAACCGAAUCAGCCAAUAAUUUUGGCUGAACCAAUUUUUGACAAUCGCAAGAAGACGGUUGGCUAACGGUAACUGAUUUUUGGUAAUUAUGUAUGUUUAUAACAUACUUAGGGCCUCCGUAUUUAGAUCUUAUACAAAUACUCGGGGGACUUAAAUGUAAUUAUGUAAUAAAUGAAGGGGCAAAUAUGUAAUAAAUGAGGAGCUCUUAUUCUAUAAAAGGACUCCUCACCCUCACAAUUGAGGAAGCCAAUUCCUAGGCCCUCUUACCCUCAGAAGUCUCCUCAUAUCCCCUAAGCUCUAAGCUCUCUUAAAGCUCUCACUCUCAUUCAGAGCUCUCUCUCCCUCAUAAUACUCUCAGAGAAAUACAAUAUUAGUGUGGACGUAGCCCAAACCUUGGGGUGAACCACGAUACAUCUUGUGUUAUUUACAUUUCUUGCAGAUUCACGGUCAGAUUUAGGGUUUCCAUAUUUAGAUCUCGUACAAAUACUUGGAGGACUUAAAUGUAAUUAUGUAAUAAAGGAAAUGGCAAAUAUGUAAUAAGUGAGGAGUCUUUAUUCUAUAAAAGGACUCCUUACCUUCAUAAUUGAGGAGGGCAAUUCUUAGGCCCUCUCACCCUCAGAAGUCUCGUCACAUCCCCUAAGCUCUAAGCUCUCUCUAAGCUCUCACUCUCAUUCAGAGCUUUCUCUCCCUCACAAUACUCUCAGAGAAACACAAUAUCAGUGUGGACGUAGCCCAAACCUUAGGGUGAACCACGAUACAUCUUGUGUUAUUUACAUUUCUUGCAGAUUCACGAUCAGAUUUAGGGCCUCUGUAUUUAGAUCUCGUACAAAUACUCGGGGGACUUAAAUGUAAUUAUGUAAUAAAGGAAGGGGCAAAUAUGUAAUAAGCAAGGAAGAAAAUAUCGGUAAUAUCAAAAAU